GAUGAACGCUGGCGGCGUGCCUAAUACAUGCAAGUCGAGCGAACAAACGAGGAGUUCUCCCCGCUGCCGCGAGCGACGGACGGGUAAUUCCCACGAAGCUACCCUACCUAUAAGGCUGACGUACGUUAAGGAGCGCGGAUACAGUAUAGGUUCAUAUGGUGAACGUCAGGGAUCAUUAGUGAACGACGUUUUUGCUGAGCCUUAGACAUAGUAGCGCGCCGCAUUAGCUAGUUGGUAAGGUAACGGCUUACCAAGGCUACGAUGCGUAGCCGACCUGAGAGGGUGAUCGGCCACACUGGAACUGAGACACGGUCCAGACUCCUACGGGAGGCAGCAGUAGGGAAUCUUCCGCAAUGGGCGAAAGCCUGACGGAGCAACGCCGCGUGAGUGAUGAAGGUCUUCGGAUCGUAAAGCUCUGUUAGUAGGGAAGAACAAAUGUGUAAGUAACUAUGCACGUCUUGACGGUACCUAAACAGAAAGCCACGGCUAACUACGUG
rnacentral:rRNA from 1 species